AACGCGUGGGAACGUGCCUUUCGGUUCGGAAUAAUCCAGGGAAACUUGGACUAAUACCGGAUACGCCCUUCGGGGGAAAGAUUUAUCGCCGAAAGAUCGGCCCGCGUCUGAUUAGCUAGUUGGUGAGGUAAAGGCUCACCAAGGCGACGAUCAGUAGCUGGUCUGAGAGGAUGAUCAGCCACAUUGGGACUGAGACACGGCCCAAACUCCUACGGGAGGCAGCAGUGGGGAAUAUUGGACAAUGGGCGAAAGCCUGAUCCAGCCAUGCCGCGUGAGUGAUGAAGGCCUUAGGGUUGUAAAGCUCUUUUGUCCGGGAAGAUAAUGACUGUACCGGAAGAAUAAGCCCCGGCUAACUUCGUGCCAGCAGCCGCGGUAAUACGAAGGGGGCUAGCGUUGCUCGGAAUCACUGGGCGUAAAGGGCGCGUAGGCGGACUUUUAAGUCGGAGGUGAAAGCCCAGGGCUCAACCCUGGAAUUGCCUUCGAUACUGGGAGUCUUGAGUUCGGAAGAGGUUGGUGGAACUGCGAGUGUAGAGGUGAAAUUCGUAGAUAUUCGCAAG
rnacentral:rRNA from 1 species